UUUGCAGGUGACGAUAACUUAGACAGGGACAUCAGUAAUUAUGCUAAGGAUGGUGAUUUGUUUUUGGGACUCUAAAUGAUGCGUA
rnacentral:snoRNA from 2 species